UCCAGGUAGUAUAGCUCAGUAGAGCUAAAUUCAAGAGGCAGCAAUUGCCCAGAGCACCUGCGUUGACAAAGACUUCUCAUUGAGUUGUAUUGGGAAGUCUGUGAUUGGACAGCCACAGAAAGCCUGGGCAGGGUUAAAAUGGGAUGGCUUGCAAAGGAUUUAAAUAAGAUAUAGGUGUUUUUAGAUAAAGCCCAAUGAAAAAAAUGCACUGUUAAAUUUAAGAUUUUUUUAAAU